UGGGGGAUAUUGCACAAUGGGGAAAGACCCUGAUGCAGCGACGCCGCGUGGAGGAAGAAGGUUUUCGGAUUGUAAACUCCUGUCGUUAGGGACGAAUCAUGACGGUACCUAACAAGAAAGCACCGGCUAACUACGUGCCAGCAGCCGCGGUAAAACGUAGGGUGCAAGCGUUGUCCGGAAUUACUGGGUGUAAAGGGAGCGCAGGCGGACCGGCAAGUUGGAAGUGAAAACCAUGGGCUCAACCCAUGAAUUGCUUUCAAAACUGCUGGCCUUGAGUAGUGCAGAGGUAGGUGGAAUUCCCGGUGUAGCGGUGGAAUGCGUAGAUAUCGGGAGGAACACCAGUGGCGAAGGCGGCUUGCUGGACGACAACUGACGCUGAGGCUCGAAAGCGUGGGGAGCAAACAGGAUUAGAUACCC
rnacentral:rRNA from 1 species